GAUCAUUCUUCAUGGAGACUGUUCCACAGGAAGCAGUUUCUCCUGGGUCAUCCUGACCAUUCUGCUGUUCUGGAUGUAAGUCCGUGCUGGAACUACAUUUCUCGUGGUUGAAAGAUUUGUGCAGCGAUUUGAGGGAAAGAUUAAAAACAAGGAGGUCUGGGAACGACUGAAGGGAUCUGACAGCAGUGAGGGAAGGAAGUAAUCACCAGAAUCUCAGAGGAUGUUGACAGCAGGCCCAGGAUGAAGAAGAGGAGGAAG